rnacentral:rRNA from 1 species
CGGGUGAGUAACACGUGAGCAACCUGCCCCAGGCUUUGGGAUAACCCCGGGAAACCGGGGCUAAUACCGGAUAUGACCUUGCACCGCAUGGUGUUUGGUGGAAAGUUUUUCGGCUUGGGAUGGGCUCGCGGCCUAUCAGCUUGUUGGUGGGGUGAUGGCCUACCAAGGCGACGACGGGUAGCCGGCCUGAGAGGGCGACCGGCCACACUGGGACUGAGACACGGCCCAGACUCCUACGGGAGGCAGCAGUGGGGAAUAUUGCACAAUGGGCGGAAGCCUGAUGCAGCGACGCCGCGUGAGGGAUGACGGCCUUCGGGUUGUAAACCUCUUUCAGCAGGGACGAAGCGUAAGUGACGGUACCUGCAGAAGAAGCGCCGGCCAACUACGUGCCAGCAGCCGCGGUAAGACGUAGGGCGCGAGCGUUGUCCGGAUUUAUUGGGCGUAAAGAGCUCGUAGGCGGCUUGUCGCGUCGACCGUGAAAACCUGGGGCUCAACCCCAGGCCUGCGGUCGAUACGGGCAGGCUAGAGUUCGGUAGGGGAGACUGGAAUUCCUGGUGUAGCGGUG